rnacentral:rRNA from 1 species
AUACGGAGGGUGCAAGCGUUAUUCGGAAUCACUGGGCGUAAAGGACGCGUAGGCGGGAAGCCAAGUCUGAUGUGAAAUCCUAUGGCUUAACCAUAGAACUGCAUUGGAAACUGGUUACCUAGAGUAUGGGAGGGGGAGAUGGAAUUAGUGGUGUAGGGGUAAAAUCCGUAGAUAUCACUAGGAAUACCGAAAGCGAAGGCGAUCUCCUGGAACAAUACUGACGCUAAGGCGUGAAAGCGUGGGGAGCAAACGGGAUUAGAAACCCCAGUAGUCC